UACAGAGGUCCCAAGCGUUGUUCGGAUUCACUGGGCGUAAAGGGUGCGUAGGCGGCCGGGUAAGUCUGCUGUGAAAUCCCGGGGCUCAACCUCGGAAUGGCAUUCAAUACUGCUUCGCUAGAGUACUGGAGAGGAGGCUGGAAUUUACGGUGUAGCAGUGAAAUGCGUAGAUAUCGUAAGGAAGGCCGGUGGCGAAAGCGAGCCUCUGGACAGUUACUGACGCUGAUGCACGAAGGCCAGGGGAGCAAACGGG
rnacentral:rRNA from 1 species